AGCAAUGAAUUGUCACUAGUCCAAACAGAUUACAACUUUUCAAAGUUCUUUACACCCUCAUAAUUUCUUGUUUUAUGCAUCCAACUCUAUGGUUUAGCAUAUGUGGUCCAGUUGUAGGAGGGAGCUUUGGUAAAGGGUUUUGUUGUAAUCUUAAAACUUGGGGCCUAUUUAUAGAAGAAAAAAAAUAAUUGAGGGCCUAUUUUGUAAAGAAAAAUUUUCUAAAACUUUGGGAAUCACAUUCAAUUGUUUCUCCUUGCUCCGUUGAGUUACCGCACUAAUGCUCACUACUAGCAAACACACUCUUUCAGUGCGACAGCCUCAUGAGCUUGAAGUUGUUUAGCAAAUCGGUUCCUACCAAUGUACUAAACCGGUUAUAUAAUCUGAUUAUGUAUAACCAAACCGGUUAUUGUAUAAAUGUCCAACCGGGGUUCACGAUUCUACCGUUGUUCCGCCUAAUUCUGAUUUGUUAAACGACGAGAAAUUUCUUAUGGAAGUUAGGGUUUCCUGGCCGUUGAUUGGUUCGUUCCCUGUUACCUUGUUCCAUUCCAAUCAGUUCUCGUAGAGCUUCUAAUGUCACGGCUCGUGAUGGCUUCUUCAAUUCUUCGAGUGGGAGGAUGCGUAAUCCAUGUGCCAAUAGCAGAGUCGUGCUCAGAUUGUACCAGGGGCGGAUCUAGGUGUAUGGGAUGUGGGGCACGUGCCCUACAUUAAAUUAUAAGUAUUAGCUUGUAAACUUAUGCAGUUUAAAUGAUUCAGCACAACUGGUUAAGUGUUUUCAAUAUUCGUCCAUCCUUACCCAGGUUCGAGACUAGUUGAAGUAACUUUUUUCUU
rnacentral:sRNA from 1 species